rnacentral:rRNA from 1 species
AGCUGGCGCCCGCUUGGAACAGGCGAGUCUCAUCCGGUAAAGCGAAUGAUUAGAGGCCUUGGGGCCGAAACGACCUCAACCUAUUYUCAAACUUUAAAUGGGUGAGAACUCCGGCUUGCUCGAGUGAAGCCGCGAGGCGGAUCAGGGUGCCAAGUGGGCCAUUUUUGGUAAGCAGAACUGGCGCUGUGGGAUGAACCAAACGCCGGGUUAAGGCGCCUAAACCGGAGCUCAUGGGAGACCAUGAAAGGCGUUGGUUGCUUAAGACAGCAGGACGGUGGCCAUGGAAGUCGGAAGCCGCUAAGGAGUGUGUAACAACUCACCUGCCGAAGCAACUAGCCCUGAAAAUGGAUGGCGCUAAAGCUCCGUGCCUAUACCCGGCCGCCGGAAGGCAUAGGCGUGAGCCGCUCUCGGGCGGCGAGCGCGUGAAGCCCCGGCGAGUAGGAGGGCGCGGCGGUGUGCGCGGAAGGGUCUGGGCGUGAGCCUGCCUGGAGCCGCCGCCGGUGCAGAUCUUGGUGGUAGUAGCAAAUACUCAAGCGAGGGCCUUGAGGGCUGAUGUGGAGAAGGGUUUCGUGUGAACAGCCGUUGCACACGAGUCAGUCGAUCCUAAGCCCUAGGAGAAAUCCGAUGUCGAUGUGGGGGACUUUAUUUCCCCCCUCGUUGGGCGAAAGGGAAUCCGGUUCCUAUUCCGGAACCCGGCAGCGGAACCGAAUUACGGGCCCUCGUCAGAGAAGCUCGUCGGGGUAACCCAAAGGGACCCGGAGACGCCGUCGGGAGACCCGGGCAGAGUUUUCUGUUCUGCAUAAGCGUUCGAGUUCCCUGGAAUCCUCUAGCAGGGAGAUAGGGUUUGGAACGCGAAGAGCACCGCAGUUGCGGCGGUGUCCGGGUCGUCCCCUCGGACCUUGAAAAUCCGGGAGAGGGUCACGCGGAGGUGUCGCGCCGGCU